UGGGGAAUUUUGGACAAUGGGGGAAACCCUGAUCCAGCCAUCCCGCGUGUGCGAUGAAGGCCUUCGGGUUGUAAAGCACUUUUGGCAGGAAAGAAACGUCGCGGGUUAAUACCCCGCGAAACUGACGGUACCUGCAGAAUAAGCACCGGCUAACUACGUGCCAGCAGCCGCGGUAAUACGUAGGGUGCAAGCGUUAAUCGGAAUUACUGGGCGUAAAGCGUGCGCAGGCGGUUCGGAAAGAAAGAUGUGAAAUCCCAGAGCUUAACUUUGGAACUGCAUUUUUAACUACCGGGCUAGAGUGUGUCAGAGGGAGGUGGAAUUCCGCGUGUAGCAGUGAAAUGCGUAGAUAUGCGGAGGAACACCGAUGGCGAAGGCAGCCUCCUGGGAUAACACUGACGCUCAUGCACGAAAGGGUGGGGAGCAAACAGGAUUAGAUACCCUGGUAGUCCACGCCCUAAACGAUGUCAACUAGCUGUUGGGGCCUUCGGGCCUUGGUAGCGCAGCUAACGCGUGAAGUUGACCGCCCUGGGGGAGUACGGUCGCAAGAUUAAAACUUAAAUGAA
rnacentral:rRNA from 1 species